UACGUAGGGUGCAAGCGUUAAUCGGAAUUACUGGGCGUAAAGCGUGCGCAGGCGGUUGUGUAAGACAGAUGUGAAAUCCCCGGGCUCAACCCGGAAAUGGCAUUGGAAACUACCUUGCUGGAGGAUUUGAGGGGGGAUUGGAAUACUUGGUGUAGCAGUGAAAUGCGUAGAUAUCAAGUGGAACACCAGUGGCGAAGGCGAAUCCCUCGAAAAUACCUGACACUGAGGCACGAAAGCUAGGGGAGCAAACAGG
rnacentral:rRNA from 1 species